rnacentral:rRNA from 1 species
UGCAGUCGAACGGUAACAGGUCUUCGGAUGCUGACGAGUGGCGAACGGGUGAGUAAUACAUCGGAACGUGCCCGAUCGUGGGGGAUAACGCAGCGAAAGCUGUGCUAAUACCGCAUACGAUCUACGGAUGAAAGCGGGGGAUCGCAAGAGCUCGCGCGGACGGAGCGGGCGAUGGGGGAUUAUGUGGUUGGGGGGAUAAAAGCUUACCAAGCCGACAAUCUGUGGCUGGGCUGAGAGGACAACCAGCCACACUGGGACUGAGACACGGCCCACACUCCUACGGGAGGCGGCAGUGGGGAAUUUUGGACAAUGGGCGCAAGCCUGAUCCCCCCAUGCCGCGUGCGGGAUGAAAGCCUUCGGGUUGUAAACUGCUUUUGUACGGAACAAAAAAACUCUCUCUAAUACAGGGGGUGAAUGACGGUACCGCAAGAAUAAGCACCGGCUAACUACGUGCCACCACCCGCCGGUAAAAA